AGCGGCGAACGGGUGAGUAACACUUGAGCAACCUGCCCCGCAGACCGGGAUAGCCCAGGGAAACCUGGAUUAAUACCGGAUGCCCUCACGGAAUCGCAUGAUUCGGUGAGGAAAAGCUUUUGUGCUGUGGGAUGGGCUCGAGGCUUAUCAGCUAGUUGGUGGGGUAACGGCCUACCAAGGCAUCGACGAGUAGCUGGUCUGAGAGGACGAUCAGCCACACUGGGACUGAGACACGGCCCAGACUCCUACGGGAGGCAGCAGCAGGGAAUCUUGCGCAAUGGGCGAAAGCCUGACGCAGCAACGCCGCGUGGGGGAUGAAGGCCUUCGGGUUGUAAACCCCUUUCAGGAGGGAAGAAAUUGACGGUACCUCCAGAAGAAGCACCGGCCAACUACGUGCCAGCAGCCGCGGUAAUACGUAGGGUGCAAGCGUUAUCCGGAAUCAUUGGGCGUAAAGAGCUCGUAGGCGGUUCAGCAAGUCGGCUGUGAAAUUCCGAGGCUCAACCACGGAACUGCAGUCGAUACUGCUGUGACUCGAGUCCGGUAGAGGAGAAUGGAAUUCAGGGUGUAGCGGUGAAAUGCGCAGAUAUCCUGAGGAACACCAGUAGCGAAGGCGGUUCUCUGGGCCGGUACUGACGCUGAGAAGCGAAGCGUGGGUAGCAAACAGGAUNAGAUCCCUGGUAGUCCCCCCGUAAC
rnacentral:rRNA from 1 species